CCUUGGGCCUGGCUGGCCGGUCCGCCUCACCGCGUGCACUGGUUCGGCCGGGCCUUUCCCUCUGGGGAGCCCUAUGCCCUUCACUGGGUGUAGUGGGGAACCAGGACUUUUACUGUGAAAAAAUUAGAGUGUUCAAAGCAGGCCUAUGCUCGAAUACAUCAGCAUGGAAUAAUAGAAUAGGACGUGUGGUUCUAUUUUGUUGGUUUCUAGGACCGCCGUAAUGAUUAAUAGGGACAGUCGGGGGCAUCAGUAUUCAAUUGUCAGAGGUGAAAUUCUUGGAUUUAUUGAAGACUAACUACUGCGAAAGCAUUUGUCAAGGAUGUUUUCAUUAAUCAGGAACGAAAGUUAGGGGAUCGAAGACGAUCAGAUACCGUCGUAGUCUUAACCAUAAACUAUGCCGACUAGGGAUCGGACGAUGUUAUUUUUUGACUCGUUCGGCACCUUACGAGAAAUCAAAGUUUUUGGGUUCUGGGGGGAGUAUGGUCGCAAGGCUGAAACUUA
rnacentral:rRNA from 1 species